CACGUAGUUAGCCGGUGCUUAUUCUUCAGGUACCGUCAUGAGUCCCAGGUAUUAGCCAGAACCUUUUCUUCCCUGACAAAAGCGGUUUACAACCCGAAGGCCUUCUUCCCGCACGCGGCAUGGCUGGAUCAGGCUUGCGCCCAUUGUCCAAAAUUCCCACUGCUGCCUCCCGUACGGAGUCUGGGCCGUGUCUCAGUCCCAGUGUGGCUGGUCGUCCUCUCAGACCAGCUACAGAUCGUCGGCUUGGUGAGCCUUUACCUCACCAACUACCUAAUCUGAUAUCGGCCGCUCCAAUCGCGCGAGGUCUUGCGAUCCCCCGCUUUCACCCUCAGGUCGUAUGCGGUAUUAGCUGCUCUUUCGAGCAGUUACUCCCCCACGACUGGGCCUACGUUCCGAUACAUUACCUCCACCCGUUCGCCACUCGGUCAGUCUUAACCUGUUACCGUUCGACUUGCAUGUGUAAGCAUCGCCGCAGUCGUUCAAUCUGAGCCAGGACUACAACUCUCG
rnacentral:rRNA from 1 species